ACGUAGGUGGCGAGCGUUGUCCGGAAUUAUUGGGCGUAAAGCGCGCGCAGGUGGUUAUACAAGUCUCAUUUAAAAGUGCUGAGCUCAACUCAGUGAUGGGUGAGAAACUGUAUGACUUGAGUGCAGGAGGGGUAGGCGGAAUUCCUAGUGUAGCGGUGAAAUGGGUAGAUACUGGGAGGGGCACGAGAGGCGAAGGCGGCCAACUGGAAUGAGACAGACUGUGAGGCGCGAAAACCAGGGGAGCACCAGG
rnacentral:rRNA from 1 species